ensembl:lncRNA
CAUUUGAGUGCUGACUGCCAGUGUAGAAGGAUCUCUGGUUGGAGAUCCUUUCCUUGUGGAGUCGUUCCUGUGAGCCUAGAUGUUUGGAGACAGGGAGUGCGUGGAGUGGUGUGUGGGGAUCAUAGCUACAGCAUCAAGCUCUGUUUAAAAAAAUGUUACCACCAAAAAAAGCUAGUGGACUUGUGAGCAGGGUGCUGCCGCUCCUCGUUAAGCGGGUAGACACACGGGUGCUUUUGUGGCAGCUGCUGUUUUGUGCUCUGGAUGGACUUUGUCUUCAGUCUUCCCAAAUUGCGCUUUGUGGGCUGCCACAACCAAGCCCUGGGAAAUUCUUGUGAGUUUGAAGCUCACCUGCUCGUGUUGGCUGUCAUGUGCAGUACGCUUGUUUUUGAUUGCAUCUCAUCUGUCCCAAAGCUAACACAGAAUCAGCCCUUUAGAGUGUGAGAACAGCCACCAUAGCAGAGAGACGACAGGAAGAACAAGUGCUUGAGUUAAUGUGUGUACUAGACCAACAGAUGAACAACUUCCUGGAAAGCAACCAAAGUGGAAUGAACUAGAGUUAUAAAUAAAGCAUUGCUAGUGCAUGUACGGCAAGUCUGGAAGCUUGUCAUAGCGCCUGCUUUUUAUUAUGCUGUUUUUUGUCAGUGUUUGACACAUGCCCUGGCUUGUAGUAGAGCAACAUUUGUGCGCUCUUGUUUUCCCAAAAAAAAACAAGUGAGCCUGCUUUGUUCCAUUCAGGAAACAAAAUCUGCAACCAUGCAUUUAAAAAAACUGGGGAACGCAUUGUACAGCCAGCGUUUAUCCUCUGACAGCCAUGUUCCAAGAGGGAAUGGAUUUUUAAACACAGGUGUUUGGAGGAAGUUUUCAACUUGGCCUAAAAGAAUUUGUCAGGCCUGUGAACCCCACAAAACCCUGCUAGAGAUGGUUCACAGUUGGUUUGUGGCAGAGGCAGGCAUACUGGCCUGAUGCUGGAGCACCACACUACCUGAGGAAGAGUUGGCCUUGUAAGCUGGAGCAGUGUGGGAAGGGCUGGCAAGAUCUGCCAGCUUGAACCAGGACUUCUUCCACCAUCCCUGGAAGCACUAUGUUGAGGAGGAGCUGGAGCAGAAAAGAAUGCUUUGGCUAGAGGAAAGAGUUGUUAUUGCUUUUGGUUUGCUCCUCAAUCAGCAGUCAGAUGAUUGAAUUUGCAGUACAUAAGGCUACAGCAACAAUAGCCUUCCUCUUAAUAAAAAACUAGCACCUUACAAAGGGUGAGCAGUUGCUGUCUGUAGUGUGUGGUCUUAGUUCUUCUAAUAGAAAGUAAGCAUUUGUCUCCAUAAGCAGGA